GAUGAACGCUGGCGGCGUGCCUAAUACAUGCAAGUCGAGCGAAUGGAUUAAGAGCUUGCUCUUAUGAAGUUAGCGGCGGACGGGUGAGUAACACGUGGGUAACCUGCCCAUAAGACUGGGAUAACUCCGGGAAACCGGGGCUAAUACCGGAUAACAUUUUGAACCGCAUGGUUCGAAAUUGAAAGGCGGCUUCGGCUGUCACUUAUGGAGGGACCCGCGUCGCAUUAGCUAGUUGGUGAGGUAACGGCUCACCAAGGCAACGAUGCGUAGCCGACCUGAGAGGGUGAUCGGCCAUACUGGGACUGAGACACGGCCCAGACUCCUACGGGAGGCAGCAGUAGGGAAUCUUCCGCAAUGGACGAAAGUCUGACGGAGCAACGCCGCGUGAGUGAUGAAGGCUUUCGGGUCGUAAAACUCUGUUGUUAGGGAAGAACAAGUGCUAGUUGAAUAAGCUGGCACCUUGACGGUACCUAACCAGAAAGCCACGGCUAACUACGUGCCAGCCGCCGCGGUAA
rnacentral:rRNA from 1 species